GACGAACGCUGGCGGCGUGCUUAACACAUGCAAGUUGAACGGGCAUACAUGGAAGCUUGCUGAAGUGUAUGUUAGUAGCGGACGGGUGAGUAAUGCAUGAGGACCUGCCUACCGGAGGGGGACAACAGUUGGAAACGGCUGCUAAUACCCCGCAUGCCGAGAGGUGAAAGGAAUGGAGCCAUUCCGCCGGGAGAGGGACUCAUGUCCUAUCAGCUGGUUGGUGAGGUAACGGCUCACCAAGGCGACGACGGGUAGCCGGCCUGAGAGGGCGACCGGCCACACUGGAACUGAGAGACGGUCCAGACUCCUACGGGAGGCAGCAGUGGGGAAUAUUGGGCAAUGGGGGCAACCCUGACCCAGCGACGCCGCGUGAGGGAAGAAGGCCUUCGGGUCGUAAACUUCUUUUGUACGUGAAGAAGCAGAUGACGGUAGCGUACGAAUAAGUCCCGGCUAACUACGUGCCAGCCGCCGCAGUAA
rnacentral:rRNA from 1 species